CCUACGGUGCGCAGCAGUGGGGAAUAUUGGGCAAUGGAGGAAACUCUGACCCAGCAAUGCCGCGUGAAUGAAGAAGGUCUUCGGAUUGUAAAGCUCUAUCAGCAGGGAAGAAAAUGACGGUACCUGACUAAGAAGCCCCGGCUAACUACGUGCCAGCAGCCGCGGUAAUACGUAGGGGGCAAGCGUUAUCCGGAUUUACUGGGUGUAAAGGGAGCGUAGACGGUGCAGCAAGUCUGAUGUGAAAGGUCGGGGCCCAACCCCGGGACUGCAUUGGAAACUGUUGAACUGGAGUACAGGAGAGGUAAGCGGAAUUCCUAGUGUAGCGGUGAAAUGCGUAGAUAUUAGGAGGAACACCAGUGGCGAAGGCGGCUUACUGGACUGUAACUGACGUUGAGGCUCGAAAGCGUGGGGAGCAAACAGGAUUAGAUACCCCGGUAGUC
rnacentral:rRNA from 1 species